UCGGAUAACUUCCAAAUCAAAAGUACCAGUUCUCGUUUGAUCACUGAAGUCAAGUGACGGUUGAGCACGGUUAGUACUUGGUGGAUGGGUGUGAUCGCUUUGGAACACUGUGUGUUGUCCUUC
rnacentral:rRNA from 1 species